ACGACCUUACUUGAACAGGAUCUGUUCUAUAGGCUCGUACUGCCAGCAGGGUUGGACUUAUCGCCGGGGGCCCGGUUACCGUCACCUGGCGGUAACCGCGCAAAACCACGAUAAAUUUGCAAUUUGAAAUUUGAAUUCAAAAAUUCGGCAAACCGCGGUUACCGCGCGAUGUGUGACGGGCC
rnacentral:snoRNA from 1 species